AUUGAACGCUGGCGGCAUGCUUUACACAUGCAAGUCGAGCGGCAGCGCGGGGGCAACCCUGGCGGCGAGCGGCGAACGGGUGAGUAAUGCAUCGGAACGUAUCCUCGAGUGGGGGAUAACCCAGCGAAAGUUGGGCUAAUACCGCAUGAGCUCUGAGGAGGAAAGCGGGGGACCUGCGAGGGCCUCGCGCUGGAGGAGCGGCCGAUGUCCGAUUAGCUAGUUGGUGGGGUAAAGGCUUACCAAGGCGACGAUCGGUAGCUGGUCUGAGAGGAUGAUCAGCCACACGGGAACUGAGACACGGCCCAGACUCCUACGGGAGGCAGCAGUGGGGAAUUUUGGACAAUGGGGGAAAGCCUGAUCCAGCCAUGCCGCGUGGGUGAAGAAGGUCUUCGGAUUGUAAAGCUCUUUGGGGGGGGAGGAAGGGGGGGAAGUUAAUACCCCGCUGUGAUGACGGUACCAAAAGAAGAAGCACCGGCUAACUACGUG
rnacentral:rRNA from 1 species